rnacentral:rRNA from 1 species
GACGAACGCUGGCGGCGUGCUUAACACAUGCAAGUCGAACGGAAAGGCCCUGCUUUUGUGGGGUGCUCGAGUGGCGAACGGGUGAGUAACACGUGAGUAACCUGCCCUUGACUUUGGGAUAACUUCAGGAAACUGGGGCUAAUACCGGAUAGGAGCUCCUGCUGCAUGGUGGGGGUUGGAAAGUUUCGGCGGUUGGGGAUGGACUCGCGGCUUAUCAGCUUGUUGGUGGGGUAGUGGCUUACCAAGGCUUUGACGGGUAGCCGGCCUGAGAGGGUGACCGGCCACAUUGGGACUGAGAUACGGCCCAGACUCCUACGGGAGGCAGCAGGGGGGAAUAUUGCACAAUGGGCGGACGCCUGAUGCAGCAACGCCGCGUGCGGGAUGACGGCCUUCGGGUUGUAAACCGCUUUCGCCUGUGACGAAGCGUGAGUGACGGUAAUGGGUAAAGAAGCACCGGCUAACUACGUG